AGCUCCAAUAGCGUAUAUUAAAGUUGUUGCAGUUAAAACGCUCGUAGUUGACUGUAUGCUGCUGGUUUGGUGUUUUUGCACGACAAAUUCGCUAAACUGUAGCAUCAGUUUCUUAGCUUUUUGUUAAGAGACCAGUUACUUUGAGGAAAUUACGGUGUUCAAAGCAGGCUAUCGCCAUGAAUACCUCAGCAUGGAAUAACAUUGACGCAUUCGUUUCUCUGUUGGUUCAAGAAAUGUGAGGCGAUGAGUAAUAGAGCCAGUCGAGGGCAUUCGUAUUGAACAGUCAGAGGUGAAAUUCUAAGAUUUGUUCAAGACGAACAACUGCGAAAGCAUCUGCCAAGGAUGGGCUCA
rnacentral:rRNA from 1 species